rnacentral:rRNA from 1 species
AUUGAACGCUGGCGGCAUGCCUUACACAUGCAAGUCGAACGGCAGCACGGGAGCAAUCCUGGUGGCGAGUGGCGAUCGGGUGAGUAAUAUAUCGGAACGUGCCCAGUCGUGGGGGAUAACGCAGCGAAAGCUGUGCUAAUACCGCAUACGAUCUAUGGAUGAAAGCGGGGGAUCGCAAGACAUCGCGCGAUUGGACCGGCCGAUAUCAGAUUAGCUAGUUGGUGAGGUAAAGGCUCACCAAGGCGACGAUCUGUAGCUGGUCUGAGAGGACGACCAGCCACACUGGAACUGAGACACGGUCCAGACUCCUACGGGAGGCAGCAGUGGGGAAUUUUGGACAAUGGGCGAAAGCCUGAUCCAGCAAUGCCGCGUGCAGGAUGAAGGCCUUCGGGUUGUAAACCGCUUUUGUACGGAACGAAACGGUGAGCUCUAAUACAGUUUGCUAAUGACGGUACCGUAAGAAUAAGCACCGGCUAACUACGUGCCAGCAGCCGCCGUAA